AGAGUUUGAUCCUGGCUCAGGAUGAACGCUGGCGGCGUGCUUAACACAUGCAAGUCGAACGAAGCAUAGGAGUGGAAUUUUUCGGAAGGAAACAACUAUGACUGAGUGGCGGACGGGUGAGUAACACGUAGGUAACCUGCCCCGGAGCGGGGGAUAACAUUUGGAAACAGAUGCUAAUACCGCAUAACAACAAAAGCCACAUGGCUUUUGUUUGAAAGAUGGCUUUGGCUAUCACUCUGGGAUGGACCUGCGGUGCAUUAGCUAGUUGGUAAGGUAACGGCUUACCAAGGCGAUGAUGCAUAGCCGAGUUGAGAGACUGAUCGGCCACAAUGGAACUGAGACACGGUCCAAACUCCUACGGGAGGCAGCAGUGGGGAAUAUUGCACAAUGGGGGAAACCCUGAUGCAGCAACGCCGCGUGAGUGAAGAAGGCUUUCGGGUCGUAAAACUCUGUUGUUGGAGAAGAAUGGUCGGCAGAGUAACUGUUGUCGGCGUGACGGUAUCCAACCAGAAAGCCACGGCUAACUACGUGCCAGCAGCCGCGGUAAUACGUAGGUGGCAAGCGUUAUCCGGAUUUAUUGGGCGUAAAGCGAGCGCAGGCGGUUUUUUAAGUCUGAUGUGAAAGCCCUCGGCUUAACCGAGGAAGUGCAUCGGAAACUGGGAAACUUGAGUGCAGAAGAGGACAGUGGAACUCCAUGUGUAGCGGUGAAAUGCGUAGAUAUUAGGAAGAACACCAGUGGCGAAGGCGGCUGUCUGGUCUGUAACUGACGCUGAGGCUCGAAAGCAUGGGUAGCGAACAGGAUUAGAUACCCUGGUAGUCCAUGCCGUAAACGAUGAAUGCUAGGUGUUGGAGGGUUUCCGCCCUUCAGUGCUGCAGCAAACGCAUUAAGCACUCCGCCUGGGGAGUACGACCGCAAGGUUGAAACUCAAAGGAAUUGACGGGGGCCCGCACAAGCGGUGGAGCAUGUGGUUUAAUUCGAAGCAACGCGAAGAACCUUACCAGGUCUUGACAUUGAUGGACAGAACCAGAAACCGGAACUUUCCUUCGGGACAGGGGAGACAGGUGGUGCAUGGUUGUCGUCAGCUCGUGCUGUGAGAUGUUGGGUUAAGUCCCGCAACGAGCGCAACCCUUACCUUCAGUAGCCAGCGAGUAAAGUCGGGCACUCUGGAGGGACUGCCAGGGACAACCUGGAGGAAGGUGGGGAUGACGUCAAAUCAUCAUGCCCCUUAUGAUCUGGGCUACACACGUGCUACAAUGGCGUAAACAAAGGGAAGCGAGACAGUGAUGGUAAGCAAAUCCCAAAAAUAACGUCUCAGUUCGGAUUGUAGUCUGCAACUCGACUACAUGAAGCUGGAAUCGCUAGUAAUCGCGGAUCAGAAUGCCGCGGUGAAUACGUUCCCGGGUCUUGCACUCACCGCCCGUCA
rnacentral:rRNA from 1 species